CACCCAGGACGGUGGAUCACUCGGCUCGUGGGUCGAUGAAGAACGCAGCAAAUUGCGCGUCGACAUGUGAACUGCAAGGACACAUGAAACAUCGACGUUUCGAACGCACAUUGCGGUCCAUGGAUUCCGUUCCCGGGCCACGUCUGGCUGAGGGUCG
rnacentral:rRNA from 1 species